UACGUAGGCAGCAAGCGUUGUUCGGAGUUACUGGGCGUAAAGGGUGUGUAGGCGGUCUUCUAAGUUUGGUGUGAAAUCUCCCGGCUUAACUGGGAGGGUGCGCCGAAGACUGGAAGGCUUGAGUAUGGGAGAGGUAAGCGGAAUUCCUGGUGUAGCGGUGAAAUGCGUAGAUAUCAGGAGGAACACCUGCGGUGUAGACGGCUUACUGGACCAUCACUGACGCUGAGGCACGAAAGCGUGGGUAGCAAACAGG
rnacentral:rRNA from 1 species